rnacentral:rRNA from 1 species
UUUAAGACCAUAACACCCUGAACACUCUUGAUAUCAUCUGAUCUCACAAAGCUAAGCAAGGUCAUGACUGGUUAACACCCUCUGAAGGGUACUCCAGUUGCUCAAUAAAU